rnacentral:rRNA from 1 species
UACGUAGGGUGCGAGCGUUGUCCGGAAUACUGGGCGUAAAGCGUGCGCAGGCGGUUAUAUAAGACAGUUGUGAAAUCCCCAGGCUCAACCUGGGAACUGCAUCUGUGACUGUAUAGCUAGAGUACGGUAGAGGGGGGGGAUGGAAUUCCGCGUGUAGCAGUGAAAUGCGUAGAUAUGCGGAGGAACACCGAUGGCGAAGGCAAUCCCCCUGGACCUGUACUGACGCUCAUGCACGAAAGCGUGGGGAGCAAACAGG